UACGUAGGGUGCGAGCGUUAAUCGGAAUUACUGGGCGUAAAGCGUGCGCAGGCGGCUUCGCAAGUCGAGUGUGAAAUCCCCGAGCUUAACUUGGGAAUUGCGCUCGAAACUACGGAGCUGGAGUGUGGCAGAGGAAGGUGGAAUUCCACGUGUAGCGGUGAAAUGCGUAGAGAUGUGGAGGAACACCGAUGGCGAAGGCAGCCUUCUGGGCCAACACUGACACUGAGAGACGAAAGCUAGGGGAGCGAAUGGG
rnacentral:rRNA from 1 species